rnacentral:lncRNA from 1 species
AGCACAGAUGGACCCACAUCUUCAAGCAGGGACACCAGAACUCUUUCCUGUCACCGAAGUGGAAGAGCUGAGAAUGAGAGCCAAGGCUGAUCCCCGUGGGUGCCAAACUUUGAUGUCCAUGGAAUCUGCGGCAUCCCCCAGUCUCCUAGCUGAAAAUAGGUGAGUGAUUAAGAGAGUGGAACUUUAAGAAUUAUUAGGUGUAUUUAUGGGAGCAUUUGGAAUACUCAGUUUAUCUCAAAUCACCAACUCUACCUAAUCUCCAAGCCUGCCCCUUCUUCCCACCUGAAAGCUAACCAGCCCAGAUAGAAGGGUUUUCAUGGCAAGAGAUCUGUUUCCCCACCUCUUAUUGUCCCUUGUCCUACAGUGAGAGUAGAAUCUCAGCUGAGCCUGGGCACCAGUUGCUGGGAGGUGAAGACUCACACACCAAAAUCAUUUCCAACUGGCUAAUGUAUGUCAGCAAAAUCCUCAACAGUAUGUGUGAAUAUGGGUUCUUGGAGUAUUUUAUAAAGUAGAAACCAUAUAAUUUUAAAUGAAUCUGAAUUUUUUAUUUGGAGUGUGCCCAAUUAAAGUUCUAUUUAAGAUACCAUAGCUGGAGCAGCUGGGAUAAACCUGUUUGCUCAGUUGGUGGACCUAAGCCUGGAUUCACAGGAGGCCAAUUCCAAAUGUAUUUGAGAUGCUCGGGAUUUCUUGCUGUAAUGUAGAAAGAAUCCGUGGGCUUCAGGGGGUAGGUAAGCUGGAGUGGAUUUACCACACGUGACUUGCCCUGGCUUGAACAACACAUAGGUGUGUGGAGGUUCUACAUUCUUGAAAAGAAUUCUGGUAGCUGUUCUCUGUAGACAGAGAUGCUGGCAGGAGGCAUGACAGUGGAAAUCGAGUGCCUGAUUUCAGUGGGGCUGGGAUGAUCCUAGGGUGUCAGAGGCCAAGCAGCGUGAUACUUUAGCUCGAAAUGAACUUUGGGUGUUACUUCAUGGUCUGUGCCACACAGGUCUCGGCUGUGGCUCAUCAGUGGUGAGGUUUUUAGGCCUGAGAAUGGGGAGCCCAUCCUGGUCCCCUUGAUGUGUAGAUCUGAGCUACUGCCGUGGCCAGCACAAUGCAGGUUCCUGGCCUCUGACCCAGUCCCCAGUUCUGAAUCUGCU